rnacentral:rRNA from 1 species
CGUGCAGGCGGCCUGGUAAGUCCCGUGUAAAAGCCUACGGCUCAACUGUAGGAGGCCGCGGGAUACUGUCGGGCUGGAGGGCAGGAGAGGGAAGUGGAAUUCCCGGUGUAGCGGUGAAAUGCGUAGAUAUCGGGAGGAACGCCAGUGGCGAAGGCGGCUUCCUGGCCUGUCCCUGACGCUGAGACGCGAAAGCUGGGGGGAGCGAACG